UACGUAGGGUGCGAGCGUUGUCCGGAAUUAUUGGGCGUAAAGAGCUCGUAGGCGGUUUGUCGCGUCUGCCGUGAAAGUCCGGGGCUCAACUCCGGAUCUGCGGUGGGUACGGGCAGACUAGAGUGAUGUAGGGGAGACUGGAAUUCCUGGGUGUAGCGGUGAAAUGCGCAGAUAUCAGGAGGAACACCGAUGGCGAAGGCAGGUCUCUGGGCAUUAACUGACGCUGAGGAGCGAAAGCAUG
rnacentral:rRNA from 1 species